AUUGAACGCUGGCGGCAGGCUUAACACAUGCAAGUCGAGCGGGGAAGGGUAGCUUGCUACCUGACCUAGCGGCGGACGGGUGAGUAAUGCUUAGGAAUCUGCCUAUUAGUGGGGGACAACAUUCCGAAAGGAAUGCUAAUACCGCAUACGCCCUACGGGGGAAAGCAGGGGAUCUUCGGACCUUGCGCUAAUAGAUGAGUCUAAGUCAGAUUAGCUAGUUGGUGGGGUAAAGGCCUACCAAGGCGACGAUCUGUAGCGGGUCUGAGAGGAUGAUCCGCCACACUGGGACUGAGACACGGCCCAGACUCCUACGGGAGGCAGCAGUGGGGAAUAUUGGACAAUGGGCGAAAGCCUGAUCCAGCCAUGCCGCGUGUGUGAAGAAGGCCUUUUGGUUGUAAAGCACUUUAAGCGAGGAGGAGGCUACUUGGAUUAAUACUCUAGGAUAGUGGACGUUACUCGCAGAAUAAGCACCGGCUAACUCUGUGCCAGCCGCCGCCGUAAAAC
rnacentral:rRNA from 1 species